AACAACAGCUGUGCUGAAAUGAUCUCCUUCCCCAUUCCUGUGCAGUGGAAACACAAGUUUCUGUGUCUGGUGCUGCAGCAUCGAGAAGCCUUGGAUUGUAUCCGAUGUCACAGCACGAAACAUUCCACACAGAGCAUCUGGGUGGUCCUCGUUCAAUUUUUGGAGUCUUUUCACACAGUCUGGAGGAAAGGGAUAGAAAAGGACAUAGAGGAACUGCUUUAGCCAUGCCAGAAAGCCAAUGCAAGACAGAGGAAUCAUGGAGAGGGGCCUGCAGCAGCACUGCCUGACAACACAUGAUGAAGGCAGCGAGUAGAGUAAACAAUCUGCUCAUCUGGCGAAAAAUGCACAGAGAACAUCCCAGACAACCACACCAAAAACUCUAUAAGCAGCAUGGGGGGAAAAAAAACUUUGCCCAACCAGAUGAUUUGCUUGAGAAAGGGAAAGUUUCCAGACACUGUAGAAAUUUUUACUGCCUGCUCCUUACAAGCUGUAGCAAAUAUUUGCCAGCUGCGCUGAGAAAUAAUCUGAUAAAUAAACAAGAUUACAUU